rnacentral:SRP_RNA from 2 species
GCCAGGUGUGGUGGUGCAUGCCUGUAAUCCCAGCUACUCGGAGGCUGAGGCAGGAGAAUCACUUGAACCUGGGAGGUGAAGGUUGCAGUGAGCUGAGAUCGUGCCACUGCACUCCAGCCUGGAUGACAGAGUGAGACUCUGUCUCAA